rnacentral:rRNA from 1 species
CCCCAGACUCCUACGGGAGGCAGCAGUGGGGAAUAUUGCACAAUGGGGGAAACCCUGAUGCAGCGACGCCGCGUGAGUGAAGAAGUAAUUCGUUAUGUAAAGCUCUAUCAGCAGGGAAGAAAAUGACGGUACCUGACUAAGAAGCCCCGGCUAACUACGUGCCAGCAGCCGCGGUAAUACGUAGGGGGCAAGCGUUAUCCGGAUUUACUGGGUGUAAAGGGAGCGUAGGCGGCGAUGCAAGUCAGAAGUGAAGGCCCGGGGCUCAACUCCGGGACUGCUUUUGAAGCUGUGUUGCUAGAUUGCAGGAGAGGUAAGUGGAAUUCCUAGUGUAGCGGUGAAAUGCGUAGAUAUUAGGAGGAACACCAGUGGCGAAGGCGGCUUACUGGACUGUAAAUGACGCUGAGGCUCGAAAGCGUGGGGAGCAAACAGGAUUAGAUACCCCAGUA